rnacentral:rRNA from 1 species
AGCGGCGGACGGGUGAGUAACGCGUGGGUAACCUGCCUCAUACACAUGGAUAACAUACCGAAGGUAUGCUAAUACAAGAUGAUAUAAGAGAUUCGCAUGGAUUCUUAUCAAAGCUCCGGCGGUAUGAGAUGGACCCGCGUCUGAUUAGCUAGUUGGUAAGGGUAAAUGGGCUUACCAAGGCGACGAUCAGUAGCCGACCUGAGAGGGUGAUCGGCCACAUUGGAACUGAGACACGGUCCAAACUCCUACGGGAGGCAGCAGUGGGGAAUAUUGCACAAUGGGCGAAAGCCUGAUGCAGCAACGCCGCGUGAGCGAUGAAGGCCUUCGGGUCGUAAAGCUCUGUCCUCAAGGAAGAUAAUGACGGUACUUGAGGAGGAAGCCCCGGCUAACUACGUG